rnacentral:rRNA from 1 species
GACGAACGCUGGCGGCGUGCUUAACACAUGCAAGUCGGACGGAAAGGCCCUGCUUUUGUGGGGUGCUCGAGUGGCGAACGGGUGAGUAACACGUGAGUAACCUGCCCUUGACUUUGGGAUAACUUCAGGAAACUGGGGCUAAUACCGGAUAGGAGCUCCUGCUGCAUGGUGGGGGUUGGAAAGUUUCGGCGGUUGGGGAAGGACUCGCGGCUUAUCAGCUUGUUGGUGGGGUAGUGGCUUACCAAGGCUUUGACGGGUAGCCGGCCUGAGAGGGUGACCGGCCACAUUGGGACUGAGAUACGGCCCAGACUCCUACGGGAGGCAGCAGUGGGGAAUAUUGCACAAUGGGCGGAAGCCUGAUGCAGCAACGCCGCGUGCGGGAUGACGGCCUUCGGGUUGUAAACCGCUUUCGCCUGUGACGAAGCGUGAGUGACGGUAAUGGGUAAAGAAGCACCGGCUAACUACGUG